GACGAACCGAGCGAACGUUGUUCGGAAUCAUUGGGCUUAAAGGGCGCGUAGGCGGCCGGCCGCGUCCGGGGUGAAAGCCCACGGCUCAACCGUGGAACGGCCCCGGGUACGGGCCGGCUCGAGGGGGGUAGGGGCCCGCGGAACGGUGGGUGGAGCGGUGAAAUGCGUUGAGAUCCACCGGAACUCCGGCGGCGAAGGCGGCGGGCUGGGCCCUCUCUGACGCUGAGGCGCGAAAGCCAGGGGAGCGAACGGG
rnacentral:rRNA from 1 species